UCCGCAGGCGGUCAUAUAAGUGUAAGGUGAAAUCUUUCGGCUCAACCGAAAAACUGCCUUUCAAACUAUAUGACUAGAGGAUGGAAGAGGAGAGUGGAACUGCUAGUGUAAAGGUGAAAUUUGUGGAUAUUAGCAGGAACGCCCGUGGAGAAAUCGACUCUCUGGUCCAUAUCUGACGCUCAGGGACGAAAGCUAGGGGAGCGAACA
rnacentral:rRNA from 1 species